CUCAGGAUCCAUCCCAUCUGGGAUUGAGACCAAAUUAACACAUGAGCCUGUAGGAUCGCUUCUGCCACCCAUUGCACUAAGCACUCUCCUGAGGUUAAAGUCUGUAUUGACAAAAGUGACUUUGGAUCCAAGGUUGGCUAUUCUCCGAGCAAAGUGCAUUAAGGGGUUAACAUGUCCUUGGGCUGGAAAUGGUAGCAGUAGAACAUGUGAAUUUCGCAUUUUCCUUUUUGCGGUUUGAGAAACAGAGCAGAGAAAAUGCGGAAUCUUAUCUUCCUCCGUUGGCAACGAGCAAAGGAGUGGCUAAUAAUUUAUUGGCUGCAAGGGCAAAGGAUUAAACAGAAAUUGUAGAAUAUAACGGUAAUACCGACCUGGAUUUCCUGGUUGGUCUAUUAAUAAAUUAUUUGUAUUUUGACACGUAUAUUAAAAAAAUAAAAAAAUAUAUUAAUUUUUAUUAUAUUUUAUUUUUCUCUUUCUUAUUAAUAAAUCACUACUAUAUUAGAAAUCUAAAGGGCCACUGUUAUUUAUAACUUAAAAUAAGUAAUAGUAAUUAAAUUGUUUUGUUUUUAAAAACAUUGGGAUUGGGAUUGGGAUUCAGAUUGAUUUAUAUGUACUUACCACCGAAUUAAAUCUGUGAGUUAUAUAACCAAUAAUUUUAUUAUAAUCAUUAAUUAUAAUGAAUUAUAAAUACUAUAAUUAAUAUCUAACUAUAUGUUUUAUGUUUUACAUAUAAUAUAAUAAUUUUUCAUAAUUCAAUUAAUGGGAAGAGGAGAAGAAACCUCCCAUUAAAACCGAAACACACCUAUUAAAAAUCUAAUAAAAUAAAAUAAGAAUUAGGUUUCUUAAAACAGAACAUACACCAAUUAAAAAUCUAACAAAAUAAAAUAAGAAUCAGAUCUUUUAAAACAGAACACACCGAUCAAAAAUCUAAUAAAAUAAAAUAAGAAUCAGAUCUGUUGAUAAGUAUUUUCACAAGCACAUGAAAUCGUUUAAAUAAUAAAGUGAUGAGUAGAGUUGUCAAAUAAUUGAUUUUUAAAUAUAAAAAAUAUAUGUAAUUCUAAUGUUAUUUAAGUUAUCAAAUUAAAUUUUGAAUUAAGGAGAGAACUCUAAUCUAAUUCUUGAAAAUGGCACAAUUUAAUGAUAAAGAUGGAUACAGGCUUUUUCUUCAACAAGGGAAAUAAAGCAGAUAAAUAUAUUAUAAUUAAUAUUUAUUAUUUAUAGUUAUUUCCCACGAGUUUUCAUAUUUUAAUAAAAUCAAAUAAUUUUUUUAAAUUUCCAUACUAUUAAAUCUAUCUUUCUCAACAUAGAUAACUAAUAAUCAUUCAUUAAAAUGGCUACUAUAUUAUAGGAGAGCUAAUAAAAUAUAAAUAUAAAAUACAAAUAAGAGCUAAAUUUACAUAAUUAGAGAGCUAAAUAAAAUUAAAAUAAGAAUAAAUUUGAGAGAAUAAAAAAAUUAAAAGGAAAAAUGUAUAUAAAAAAUGAAAAAUGCCCUUUGAGACAUCAUGCUGUAAAGGUGAGCGGUGGGUAAAUUUUCCAUUGAGGUAUGAGUUUGUUGCUUCAAUAACAUCAGUUUAUUUGAGGGAUAUAGAGAUGAAAAACAAAAAGAACAAGAGAAAACUUGAAAUGAACACCAAAGGAAAUGAGAAGUUAAAUGUGUUGGAAGGUUUUUUUUUCCUUUUUUUUCUAUAUUAUAUCAAUCUCAUUUACAAAAUUGAAUAUAAAUAUACAGAGUAUAUGAGAGACAUUAAAAAAACUAUUUUAGCUAUAAACAAAAUCUAAGGCUAAGAAUGUGUUGUGUUCUAUGAAAAAAAGGAUUUUAAUCUGCUCUUAUAAUUUCUCCACUAAAAACUGAUUUGACAGCUUAUACCAACACUCUUCCUCAAGUUGAUACAUAAUGUUUUGGAUGUCCAACUUGUCAAGUAAGUUGUAAAAAGUUUUACUCAGAUACAGUUUUUGUGAUGAUAUCUGCUAGUUGGUCUUCAGAUUUAAUAAAAGAGAAACAAAUUAUUUUUUUCUUCAAGAUUCUUCUUGAUGAAGUGUCAACCCCCUCUACAUAUUUGGUAUGAUCAUGUUAAACAGGAUUCGACCCACCUCUAUAUGUUUGGUGUGAUCAUGUUGAACAGGAUUGUAAGAGAUAUCAAUUGUUGUCUUGUUGUCACAAAAGAAAUUUAUCUCAGAGUCAGUAGCAAAACCAAUCUCAGUCAAUAAUCUUUUUAGCCAUAGAAGUUCACAAAGGCCUUUUGCCAUUUCUUGAAACUCAGCUUCAGCACUAGAUAAUGCUACUAUCUUCUAUUUCUUACUUCUUCAAGUAACCAGAUUGCUUUCUACAAAAUUAAAAUAGGUUGAAUGGACUUUCUAUUAGAAGUAUUCCUGUCCAAUCUGCAUCCGUAUAACCAUCAAUACUCAUAUGAUUAUUCUUUGCGAACAUAAUUCCUUUUCUGAGAGAGACUUUAGAUAGGAAAGAAUUUGAAUCACUGCAUCCAUAUGACUUUUACUUGGGUAAUGCAUUAAUUGGCUUACUACGCUCACAAAGAACAUUUCUUUCGUAUAUUGAUUUUUCUAAAAAAAUAAAAUAAAAAAUUCUUGGAUUCUCAUAAUUCUGUGGCGGUAAACAUUUUUGGUAAGUGGUCCUUUGAUUUGUUUACUCCAAAAGAUAUAGCUAAAAAAUGUAGGAUGCGGUCGCUGAUGAACCCUGAUAAGGCUCUCACCGAAGGCUUUGAAGCUAUAGCUUCAAUAGCAGAUGGUCUAAGCAUCACUCUGGUUGAACGAAAAUCUCUGAGAGGCAGGAGCCUAAACGUUGUAUUGGCUGCUUGCUUGUUCAUUGCCUGCAGAGAGUAAAUCUCCGAGGACGUUAAGGGAGAUAAGUAGGGCCACAGCUGGGGUUUCAGGGAAGGAAAAUAAAAUAGAAGAACAGGGGCUAUAAAGAAGCAUGUGGAGAUUGAUACUGGGACUUUGCAUGCUAGUGAACUUGUUAGACGGUUCUGUUCUAAUCAUGGCAUGAAAAAUCAAGCAAUGAAGUCUGUUAAGAAGCUCUUGAAAACUCCAAAGAUAUUGAUGAGGAACCAAAAUCCACCUUGGUCUUGGCAGCCAUUAUUCAUAUAAUCGCUCAGCUUUCAACCACUUGCAUUGCAUAUCACUGAUUUUAGAAAAGGACACAGAAAAUUGACCAAUCAUAAUCUUUCUUCAAUCAUUACAAAUGGAACUUCCCUUGAAUUGGGAUUUCUUUUGUGUUCUUUAUGGAUUUAACUUAAGGUAGUAAGGAUUUGCAGACAUUGCAAUGGUUGUUGAACUUGAAGUUGCAGAAGAAACAAUCAAGAAGGCAUAUAAAGAUAUGAAUGCUUCAAAGCUCAUAGACAGUUGGUACCCUAAGGAGGUGAACAUCCAAAGAAAAGGCUUGCUUGUCAGUUUAAGUCCAAGUGCCAAUUCUUGAAGUUGAGAUUGGUCAAAAAUGGUGAAACUGCCAAAUGCUACAUAUAUCGCUGACCGGGAAGGCUUUUGAUCACGCCAUUUUAGGCACGAGGAGUCCUCCGGCCAGAACUGUGCUCCUGAAUUCCCUGUAUCGUAGUAAUAAUGGGCCAAUUGGGAGGAGCUUUGGAACCGAAGAAAAUACUUCAGCCUCAAGUUCAUGAAAUGAGUUGCAUAGCUGCCAUUCUAUCAAUUGUGAAUCUUCCAUUGCUCCUUCAACAUAUUUGAAAAGGCCCUUUGUGUGUACGAGUUGCCAACUUUCCAUGUCAAGUUAUCAGUGUAAAAAAUAGGGCCGCUGGGGACAUUUGAAUCAUUUGAUUCUUGAUUGAAUAUCCUGUAAAUGAAUCAAAAGGAAAAUGCAUGCAGAGUACGAGUAGUAACUUUACGUGGAAUAUCAACAACAUCAAGACUUUCUUGUGAUUAAAGAAUAAUAAUAACAAUAAAAGCAAGGGAAGAACUUACCGUCACUGUCGAUAUAUCCAUCUCGAAUAAGAUUAGGAAUGCUGGCUAAUUGGCGAAAAGUGGCAGCUGAUGCAGGCCAGAACAUUGCAACUCGGAUCCCCAAUUUGUCAGCAACUUCUCUUGCCCACCCCAUACAUCCAUCAACUACAAUACAAGUGAUGGGAUGAUUCUUGUUGAUGUCUUCUAUGAGAUCCUGAAUCUUUUUGGGCAUGGUGAUCACCAUGGCCUCGCAUAACUUACCCAAGUCAGUUCUAUCAUCCUCAGGAUCCAUCCCAUCUGGGAUUGAGACCAAAUUAACACAUGAGCCUGUAGGAUCGCUUCUGCCAGCCAUUGCACUAAGCACUCUCCUGAGGUUAAAGUCUGUAUUGACAAAAGUGACUUUGGAUCCAAGGUUGGCUAUUCUCCGAGCAAAGUGCAUGAAGGGGUUAACAUGUCCUUGGGCUGGAAAUGUUAGCACUAGAACAUGUGAAUUUCGCA
rnacentral:lncRNA from 1 species